rnacentral:lncRNA from 1 species
GGCUGUAGCUGGUUUUAUGAGAUAUCACGGUGCUGUGUCAUGCACCUGUGUAGCUGAGAGCAGAAUGUUCGCUGCGGAGAUGGAAAAAAAAAAAACAGGCACUGGAAGGGAUAUAAGCACAGUCCCCUUUUGUUAGCAAUGAAAGUGGAGCACAUGGCCUGGAGUAACUUUCUGAAAGAUCAUUGAAAGAAACUCACGAGUUUCUACUUUAUACCCGUAUCCUUUAAUCUUUUAGCUAAAAUUUCAUGUACCCAACGAAGUAACCGGAUUUAUUUUGCUUCCCACCAGCCAAGAUGUUAACCGGACCCUUCAGCUUUCCCUCUGCUCUCUGCCUUUAACCUGGGCCAAUUAGGUUGGGAACUACACUGCAGCAUGGCCUCGAAACAACACGCUUGCUCAGAAUUGUCCUUCGAAUGCUGCUGUUCUCCCACGGGAAUCGGAAAUCCCAGGGCCUGCAUGCUUAACCCUUUCCACACCAUGGACACGCCUCAGGUUCUAAAGAGCAAAGCAUGUCACUCAGGCAGACCAUGACCUUGGCUCCUAAUCCGGAAGGCCAGUUUCAGGGAUGCCCACGUGGAGAAGAGAAAAUGACCAGAGAACAAGUGUGCUCACAGCCCUUGUGGGAAUAAUCGUGCCCACCUGGGGGGCUUUUCUGAAGACACUCAGAGCCGACUAAGAUAGGGGAGCGGUCUUGUUUUCUUUGGUGGCUCAUCUCUGCCUCUGUUUCUCCAUCAGAUCACAGUGAAAGCUGUAGCCCACAGUGUUGCUCACGAUUUCAGAGGAGAAUUGAAAAUGAGGAGGAAUGGAAUAUUCGCAAGUGUCUACUUGUCAACAAAGCGUGCCAGGUGUGUUCUCUCAUCUCCGGGGAUCAGCAGCUUCCUGUAAUCUCCCUUUAUGCCUUUCAUUCACUCUAAUCACAAGGAUUUUACAAGAGGCCCUCCUUGACCCCAGGCAUGAGCUCGGCCCUUUAUUUGUAAGUGAACUCAGCAGUGUUCACUUAACACUUUUAAGGAUCUGCGCCCAGGGAAGGGGAAGCGUGGUCAGACAGCAGGCUCUCUGAACUCACCUUUCUGGACAAAGAUCUCCCUAGGCAUUGUACACGCCUCCUUCUUUUCUUUCCCCUUGAGCUGUCCGGGUUUCACAGCAAGUUAUAAAGCGAAGAGCCUCACCUGCCUUUGAGACCACCUCCCCUUGGCCCAGCUCAGUAGCUGGUCCUCAGCAACCUGAGCGGCUCACUUGGGAGGCUGCAUGGCCGAGCAGGCGAAGCACUUACAGUGGAAGCGAGGCCUGUGAUGCUGUCAACUUGCUUCUUAACCCUAGGAUGCUGUGAGAAUUAAAUUACAUAGUAGCUGCAAAAUAAUUUGGCUUUCUUGGAGUUGGACACCACCUGAACCUGAGUGAAAUGAUUGUGCACUUCUUAAUGGCCUCCAUCUCUGGCCAAGCUGCCUUGGGACCAGAACAAUCAUCUAAGUCCCAGUUUCCAGCCUAAAACAGCAUGAGGACAAGGCCAGGAGGCCACAGCAAGGCUGUAAUCAGAACCCACAAGGAUUGCAUGGAGAUGCUGCAGUGCCGCCACCACCCAACGGCCGGAGCCCCCAGCAAAGAGUUUUCCACAAAAUGGGAGAAAAGUAUAAGAAGCUCUUCCUGCUAUGGUCUUUCAAGGAGCCCAGCUGCCUGACCCCUAUAAGGACCCCAGGACACUGUCCUCUGGAGUGGAGCUGUAUUUGAUGUGUGUUUAUCCAUCACUAGACUGUAAGUGACAGAUAAAUCUUACAACAGGGCUCAUGUCUGCUUUAUCUUCAUUUUAUCUCCAGAGCCCCAAUACAAUGCUUCGUACCUAGAAGGCUCUCAGAAACAGAAAUCUGGUGAAUUAGUUAAAUUAUAUGCUUCUCUGCCCUCUGCCCUCCAUAAGAAAAAAAGAAAAGACCUAUAAAAGGCAUUCUGAACACUGGAGUUUGGCUCCUGUUUACCAUGUACAUCUAGAGAAGUGUACAAUUCGUGCUUGUAUGAAAUAAUGAAUGUUCACAAAGUGAGUAUACUUCUGUAAGCACUGCCUAAAUCAAAAGCAGCAAUGUGACCAGCCCCCCGGCCACCCUUGGUGCUCUCCCAAGCACUCCUCCACCAUCCUCUCCAACUGCAACCGCUAUCCUGAUUUCUAACACCCUAGGGGAGUUUUGCCUAGUUUUAAAUUUUACAUGAAUGGAGUCUCAUCAUAUGUAUUACUUUUACACUCAUAAUAUUUUCAAGAUAAGGAUAAAAAGCAAAAUUUUGGUCUUAUCACAAAGAUAUACCUGAGAUACACGAUCUUUAGAUUCUAAAUGACAAAGACUGAACUAAUCUAAAGGACAAAAAUGCAAACUGCAUUUUCACUUCUGGCUAAACUGAAUUUUUAAAAAAUUUCUCUUAUGCUUUCUUAUGUUUUAAUGAUCAUUCAUGAUAUUGCUUAAUUUCAGAGCAUAGAAAAUUGUGAAGUACAGUAGCAAAGACAUGGAAUCAACCUAAAUGCCCAUCAGUGGUUGACUAGAUAAAGAAAAUGUGGUACAUAUACACCAUAGAGUACUAUGCAGCCAUAAAAAGGAUGAUAUCAUGUCCUUUGCAGGAACGUGGAUGGAGCUGGAGGCCGUUAUCCUUAGCAAACUAAUGCAGGAACAGAAAACCAAAUACUGCUUGUUCUCAUUUGGAAACAAGGCAACUCAGAGGACUGAGAGACUCAGGACUUCCAGACAGAGGAUCAGGCGUACCUCAUGCAUGGGUGUUUUGGAAGAAGGCCAUUUUGAAACCUACUCUGUAUCAUUACAGACUUUCAGUGAAUUAAUUUAGAAUAAAUCCACCUCCUUCCCUGUAUGUGGUAGAAUUUCACUGGGAUACAACGUGAGGACAGAGAUUUGAACCCUCAGUCCCACUUAUGAUGCGGGGCUUCAGGGGCACCACGGACAUGCUCCGCAUUCACCCAUCUGUGGGGGAGGACUAAGGAAGCUGCGCUGGUGUGUGAGAAAGUAAUGGGCUCUUUUAAGCCCUUUUACUUAAAGCAAUAAAAGAAUAACUGCGUCAUCUGCUGGAGUAAAAGUUUUCAACAGAUGACCGGCUUGGUUCUUAAAACACACACACACACACACACACACACACGAGGAGUGAACCACACAGCAUGCAAAUGAGAGGAACAAACGCUUUUGUUUGUUGGAGAUUAAUUUUUAUGGAAAGUUGUACAUUGCAGAUUGCAAUCAACCUGACACAUUCUCUCCCUCCUGCUCCUUCUCUCAGUUGGCUUUGAGGAGAGGCACUUCCAAGUUUGAGAAUUCAUCUUGUCUGAUUAAUGAUGUGUACACAGAGAUUUCAGUCUCAUCUUCCUUCUCUGGGUCCUUUUUAUUCAGUUGUUUGCUGUGCUACAACCCUGCGGAUAGAUGGUUCUGCCGUGAUAAAUGUAAAGUUUGCAUAAGCCAUGUAACAGCAGGACAGCCUAUUAUCACCGUACAUUUUCCAUGGCUGUGCAAACCUCUGUAGGCUAUUUUAUUGCUAAUAGAUCCACAGAGAAACAGUAGUGAUUUUACGACUCUUUUUAAAAUGGAAAUUCAUGUUUGAGAAAUACAACUGGGAGGAAACAGAUGUAAACCACUUAAGCAUUUGCAGAAAAUUGAGAUGCACACUCUUAUUUACAGACCUACAUAGCCUCCAUCGCUUUAUUUUCAAAAUUAAAAUAAGCAAUCUGUUUACCAUGGGAAAUGAUGAACUGUAAACUUGUUGUUUUUCCUUUUACAUGGCAAUGGCCGCCAUCGUUGGGUUUAAUGGCAGAACUGAAGCAGGCAGCGUGGCAAUUUUUUCCCCUUAGGUUUUAUUGUCUGUAAUGCAUUCCCUCUGUAAUCUGCGCGAGAGGUAGGUAAGUGGGAAAGAUUUUCGUGUAACUGUAUGUCUGAAUUCACAUUAUGCUUGAACAGCUAAAAUGAUUACCAGACACAUUAGAAAGAUUUUAACCAGGUAUUUAACACUAUCUGUAAAUUGCUUAAAAUACUGGAAGAGUCAACCUCCACAAAAACGCUUUCACAUGGCCAAACACAAAAGCACAACCCAUCCAAAAACAUUUAUUCUGGCCUCGUCCCAACUUUCUCACAUCUUUUGGAGUUGUGACAAAUGUCACAUGUUGGAAAGGAGAUACAAAUGGAAGCAUCACAAAACAAUAUAGCAAUGAGAAGUCUGUCCACCAGACUCAUCAGAGCAAGCUCCUUGUGGCAUGUGGAAGCUCCUCUGGUUUUUAAUUUCAGCAUUGAUCUUUUUUUUUUUUUUUUUUUUUAGGUCUAGAACUACAUUUUUUGUUGCGGCAAAAUAUAUGCAACACAAAAUUGACCGUUUUAACCAUUUCUAAGUAUACAAUUCAGUGGCAUGAAAUGCAUUCACAUUGUCGUGCAACCAGCACCACCAUCCAGCUCCAGAACUUCAUCACAGACUGAAACUCUGUACCCAUGAAAGCAAAGACUCGCCAUUUCCCCCUCUUCUCCCAGCCCCUAGUAAUUUCUAUUCUACCUUCUGGCUGUAUGAAUUUGCCUAUCCUAGGCACCUCAUAUAAGUGGAAUUAUACAGUACUUGUCCCUUUGUAACUAGCUUAUUUCACUUAGCAUAAUGUCCUCAGGGUUCACCCAUGUUGUAGCAUGUAUCAGAAUGUCUUUCCUUUCUAAGGCUGAAUAAUAUUCCAUGGUGUGUAUAUACCACAUUUUGUUUAUCUGCCCUGUGUGGCUAGUCCUGGGAUUUUAAUAUUGAGGAGGUAUCCCCAUCAACCCGGGGAUGGAAGUGGCCUGCUUAUUCGUGAGCACUGCAAAGCAGGACGGCUAAGGAGAAUGAGAGGCGUCCAGACUAGGUCUGCAGAAUCAGGCAGGGAGGGCUCCUGGAAACUAUAGGUUUCUGGUCUCUGUAUAACAAUCACCAGCUGUGGGAAUAUUUUGCUUUCAUCCUUAAGCUUUGUUUUAAAUGUCAAAGGAGACUAAGCUAGACCCUCUUAGGAACUGAAAUUUUUCUCGGAGACAAGAUAUGAUGGACUUCGGCCCAAAGUCAGAUAACAGAAUGUGUUUCCAACCCCAUGCCUCCCCAAGCCACUCACUGCCACUGGGGAAGGCACUCGGGAGACUCCCUGAUCAUGGCCCUUGGAUUGCAUCAAAUGAGGCACAGCCACAGUGAGCAGGCUCUGAGCUCACUCACUCUUGGUGGAAACCAUACUAUAUGGAGA